rnacentral:tRNA from 1 species
GCCUGGUUGGCUCAGUAGGUUGAGCAUCUGACUUCGGCCUGACUUCGGCUCAGGUCAUGAUCUCGCGGCUCAUGGGUUCGAGCCCCACUUCAGGCU